UACGGAGGGGGCUAGCGUUGUUCGGAAUUACUGGGCGUAAAGCGCGCGUAGGCGGACUUUUAAGUCGGGGGUGAAAUCCCGGGGCUCAACCCCGGAACUGCCUUCGAUACUGGGAGUCUGGAGUUCGAGAGAGGUGAGUGGAAUUCCGAGUGUAGAGGUGAAAUUCGUAGAUAUUCGGAGGAACACCAGUGGCGAAGGCGGCUCACUGGCUCGAUACUGACGCUGAGGUGCGAAAGCGUGGGGAGCAAAC
rnacentral:rRNA from 1 species